CCUACGGGGGGCAGCAGUGAGGAAUAUUGGUCAAUGGACGCGAGUCUGAACCAGCCAUGCCGCGUGAAGGAUGACUGCUCUAUGGGUUGUAAACUGCUUUUGUAAAAGGAUAAAGGCAGAUACGCGUAUCUGUCUGAAAGUAUCGUACGAAUAAUGAUCGGCUAACUCCGUGCCAGCAGCCGCGGUAAUACGGAGGAUUCGAGCGUUAUCCGGAUUUAUUGGGUUUAAAGGGGGCGUAGGCGGUUGGAUAAGUUAGAGGUGAAAUCUUGAGGCUCAACUGCAGAAUUGCCUUUGAUACUGGUCGGCUAGAGAGUAGUUGAGGUAGGCGGAAUGCAUGGUGUAGCGGUGAAAUGCUUAGAGAUCAUACAGAACACCGAUUGCGAAGGCAGCUUACCAAGCUACCUCUGACGUUGAGGCACGAAAGCGUGGGGAGCAAACAGGAUUAGAUACCCUUGUAGUC
rnacentral:rRNA from 1 species